UCUUCCGUAGUAUAGUGGUCAGUAUGUGAGCUUGUCAUCAGAGUGGGAUUACCAUUUCAGACACCGCUCGAGACCCGGGUUCAAUUCCCGGCGGGAGAG